rnacentral:rRNA from 1 species
UACGUAGGGGGCAAGCGUUGUCCGGAUUUAUUGGGCGUAAAGAGCGUGUAGGCGGCCAGACAGGUCAGCUGUGAAAACUGGAGGCUCAACCUUCAGAGGUCGACCGAAACCAUCUGGCUAGAGUCCGGGAGAGGAGAGUGGAAUUCCUGGUGUAGCGGUGAAAUGCGCAGAUAUCAGGAAGAACACCCGUGGCGAAAGCGGCUCUCUGGAACGGUACUGACGCUGAGACGCGAAAGCGUGGGGAGCGAACAGG